GACACUUGAUAUAUUAUUUGUCCUUUUCAGCAAGAUGUCUUCUUAUAUUCUCACUCAUCUUGGAGAGUCCAAUUGGGAACAGUGUCACAAGAAGGCACAGAAUCUUGUGUAGCACCUAUUUUAACCAUGCGACACCUGAAGGAUUGGAAUCACAUUGCUGUGUAAGUGACCUCUUGGAAACUUCUAGAAAAAUCAGCUUUCUGCAGUCCAGCUUCUUUGUCACAAUCAGUGUGGGCUUUUUCGUCUCAGAAGAAGCAGAGGGGAGCUAGGAAAGGAGGAGGGGCGAGAAAGCUAAUCUUUCCAGGAAAAAUUUUCACUCCAUUGGCCACAUUGAAACUUGGUGUGUUCUCUUUCAAUUGACCUUAAAACAGCAAAGCUCAUCCCUGAGCUAAAGAUGGAUAAACUGAAACUUCACAAAAAAUAGAUGUCUGUGCAAAAUCACUUCAUUUAUGCCAAAGACGCCACAUCUGCAGGCAACAGGGACAGAUGAAGUAAAUUUAUACCGAGGUGAAGAAUGCACGUGAACGUAAUUAAUUGUCUCCUACAUGACACAACUCAAAAGCCUUUCAUAAUGUUCCCUUCAACACAGCACGGAUGCUGCAUGGAGUCCUGCCAUAAACAGCUUGUCUGGCAUCACAGACAUCUUACAAGGAAGAAGUUCAUCAAAAGAAGAAACACUGCUUUAAGUUUUAAGAGACUUCCCAGGUACAGUGAAAAGAAGAACGUUAAGAAGAAUACAAGCAAAAUUACCAACUAGAAUCUGAAAAUAUUUAAGAAAGGUGACAAGCAAACAAUUUAAUAAGACCAACUGCGAAGAAUGAGUACAUCAAGACCGUGGAGGGCUCCAAUCCCCUCUCUUCUGUCACUGUGUCCUAGAACUAAUCCAGUGCAGUUAUUCCUAAGAAGUGGCUUCAGCUUCCGGUGGACCAGUGGAGAAAGCAGGUACUGAGUAACUCAGGCAUGUCAAGCCCUUCACAACUGCCUGGAGGCCCCUCCUUUGUUCCAAUAAAAUACUGUGCCAUCUCUGUCCAUA
rnacentral:lncRNA from 1 species